AUACGUAGGUGGCAAGCGUUGUCCGGAUUUACUGGGCGUAAAGGCUGCGUAGGCGGAUAUUUAAGUGAGAUGUGAAAUUCCCGGGCUUAACUUGGGGGCUGCAUUUCAAACUGGGUAUCUAGAGUGCAGGAGAGGAGAAUGGAAUUCCUAGUGUAGCGGUGAAAUGCGUAGAGAUUAGGAAGAACACCAGUGGCGAAGGCGAUUCUCUGGACUGUAACUGACGCUGAGGCAUGAAAGCGUGGGUAGCAAACAGGAUUAGAUACCCUGGUAGUCCACGCCGUAAACGAUGAGUACUAGGUGUAGGAGGGUCCAACCUUCUGUGCCGCAGUUAACACAAUAAGUACUCCGCCUGGGAAGUACGAUCGCAAGAUUAAA
rnacentral:rRNA from 1 species